rnacentral:rRNA from 1 species
UACGUAGGGGGCAAGCGUUGUCCGGAAUCAUUGGGCGUAAAGAGCGCGUAGGCGGUCCGGUAAGUCCGCUCUGAAAGUCCGGGGCUCAACCCCGGGAGGCGGGCGGAUACUGCCGGGCUAGAGUCCGGAAGAGGCGAGUGGAAUUCCUGGUGUAGCGGUGAAAUGCGCAGAGUAUCAGGAGGAAUACCGAUGGCGAAGGCAGCCCCCUGGGAUAACACUGACGCUCAUGCACGAAAGCGUGGGGAGCAAACAGG